GACCGCUCAGGUGGCCUAGUGGUAGAGCGGCCGCCUCUGAUGCGGGAGGUCGCGGGUUUGAACCCAGGCCAAGUCA